UACGUAGGGUGCAAGCGUUGUCCGGAAUUAUUGGGCGUAAAGAGCUCGUAAGCGGUCUGUCGCGUCGGCUGUGAAAACCCGAGGCUCAACCUCGGGCCUGCAGUCGAUACGGGGAAACUAGAGUACUGAAGGGGAAACUGGAAUUCCUGGUGUAGCGGUGAAAUGCGCAGAUAUCAGGAGGAACACCGGUGGCGAAGGCGGGUCUCUGGGCCGAUACUGACGCUGAGGAGCGAAAGCGUGGGGAGCGAACAGG
rnacentral:rRNA from 1 species